rnacentral:rRNA from 1 species
AGUGAACGCUGGCGAUAGGCCUAACACAUGCAAGUCGAACGGCAGCACAGUAAGAGCUUGCUCUUACGGGUGGCGAGUGGCGGACGGGUGAGGAAUACAUCGGAAUCUACUUUUUCGUGGGGGAUAACGUAGGGAAACUUACGCUAAUACCGCAUACGACCUACGGGUGAAAGCAGGGGAUCUUCGGACCUUGCGCGAUUGAAUGAGCCGAUGUCGGAUUAGCUAGUUGGCGGGGUAAAGGCCCACCAAGGCGACGAUCCGUAGCUGGUCUGAGAGGAUGAUCAGCCACACUGGAACUGAGACACGGUCCAGACUCCUACGGGAGGCAGCAGUGGGGAAUAUUGGACAAUGGGCGCAAGCCUGAUCCAGCCAUACCGCGUGGGUGGAGAAGGCCUUCGGGUUGUAAAGCCCUUUUGUUGGGAAAGAAAAGCAGCAGGUUAAUACCCCGCUGUUCUGACGGUACCCAAAGAAUAAGCACCGGCUAACUUCGUG